UGGCGGACGGGUGAGUAACGCGUAGACAACCUGCCUCUAAAUUGGGGACAACACCGCGAAAGUGGUGCUAAUACCGAAUGUGGUAUCUUGGUCGCAUGACUGAGAUAAGAAAGGUGGCCUCUGAAUAUGCUACCGAUUAGAGAUGGGUCUGCGUCUGAUUAGCUAGUUGGUGAGGUAACGGCUCACCAAGGCGACGAUCAGUAGCCGGUCUGAGAGGAUGAACGGCCACACUGGGACUGAGACACGGCCCAGACUCCUACGGGAGGCAGCAGUGGGGAAUCUUCCGCAAUGGACGAAAGUCUGACGGAGCAACGCCGCGUGAGUGAAGAAGGUCUUCGGAUUGUAAAGCUCUGUCGUUUGGGACGAACGUAUUCUAUGUAAAUAAUGUAGAGUAAUGACGGUACCAAAGGAGGAAGCCACGC
rnacentral:rRNA from 1 species